UACGAAGGGUGCAAGCGUUACUCGGAAUUACUGGGCGUAAAGGGCGCGUAGGUGGCCUGUGCAAGCGUGCGGUGAAAGCUCGGGGCUCAACCCCGGGUCGGCCGUGCGAACUGCUGGGCUGGAGCACUGUAGAGGCAGGCGGAAUUCCGGGUGUAGCGGUGGAAUGCGUAGAGAUCCGGAAGAACACCGGUGGCGAAGGCGGCCUGCUGGGCAGUAGCUGACACUGAGGCGCGACAGCGUGGGGAGCAAACAGG
rnacentral:rRNA from 1 species